AUUGAACGCUGGCGGCAGGCCUAACACAUGCAAGUCGAGCGAGCGGCGGACGGGUGAGUAAUGUCUGGGAAACUGCCUGAUGGAGGGGGAUAACUACUGGAAACGGUAGCUAAUACCGCAUACCAUCGGAUGUGCCCCGAUGGGAUUAGCUAGUAGGUGGGGUAACGGCUCACCUAUGCGACGAUCCCUAGCUCGUCUGAGAGGAUGACCAGCCACACUGUAACUGAGACAAGGUCCAGAUUCCUACGGGAGGCAGCAGUCGGGAAUAUUGCACAAUGGGCGCAAGCCUGAUGCAGCCAUGCCGCGUGUAUGAAGAAGGCCUUCGGGUUGUAAAGUACUUUCAGCGGUGAGGCGUUACCCGCAGAAGAAGCACCGGCUAACACCGUGCCAGCAGCCGCGGUAAUAC
rnacentral:rRNA from 1 species